rnacentral:rRNA from 1 species
UACGUAGGGUGCAAGCGUUGUCCGGAAUUAUUGGGCGUAAAGAGCUCGUAGGCGGUUUGUCGCGUCUGCUGUGAAAACUCGGGGCUUAACUCCGGGCCUGCAGUGGGUACGGGCAGACUAGAGUGCGGUAGGGGAGACUGGAAUUCCUGGUGUAGUGGUGAAAUGCGUAGAGAUCGGGAGGAACACCCGCGGCGAAGGCGGCCACCUGGACCAGGCCUGACGCUGAGGCGCGAAGGCCGGGGGAGCGAACGGG